UACGAAGGGUGCAAGCGUUGUUCGGAAUUAUUGGGCGUAAAGCGCACGUAGGCGGCCUUGUAAGUCUCACUGUGAAAGUCCGGGGCUCAACCCCGGGAUGCCAGGGGAUACUGCGAGGCUUGAGACAAGUAGAGGUUGGUAGAAUUCCGGGUGUAGCGGUGGAAUGCGUAGAGAUCCGGAGGAACCCCAGAGGCGAAGGCGGCCCCCUGGCUCGUACCUGACGCUCAGCCACGAAAGCAUGGGGAGCGAACGGG
rnacentral:rRNA from 1 species